UACGUAGGGUGCGAGCGUUGUCCGGAAUUAUUGGGCGUAAAGAGCUCGUAGGCGGUCUGUCGCGUCGGUCGUGAAAACUUGGGGCUUAACCCUGAGCUUGCGGUCGAUACGGGCAUGACUGGAGUUCGGCAGGGGAGACUGGAAUUCCUGGUGUAGCGGUGAAAUGCGCAGAUAUCAGGAGGAACACCAGUGGCGAAGGCGGUGCUCUGGGCCGGAACUGACGCUGAGGAGCGAAAGCGUGGGGAGCAAACAGG
rnacentral:rRNA from 1 species